rnacentral:lncRNA from 1 species
GCGCAUGCCUCAAGCUCCUGCUGCUCACUAUGCCGGCCUUGUCAUGGUGGAUGGUACCUUUGAACCUCGAGGCAAAAUAACACUUCACCCCCUUACAUUGUAUUUGUUCAGAUAGUUUAUGGCAGCCACUGGAGAAGUAAAUAAUACAACACCUCAAAGAAUUGAAAACACACAUAGUGGCUGGCUUUUCAUCGUACAACUGAAAGAACAAGCUGGUCAGGAAAGUGAUCCCACCCUGCACUGAAGGAUGGAGUCAUCAACUCUGCAUAAACUAAACAUCUCCAAGUGAAUAUGGAUUAAUGUUUCUCCGACCAUGAAGAAAAUAUGCAUUUGAAAAACUGAACUAGAGGAAUUAUUGCUGCAAUUUUGUUUCCUCCUGAUAUCAUAGAGCCACAAGCUGUGGGCACAGCCCCAGUGUGAAAAGAGCCAGUGUUGUCCAGGGUAACAGCACUGUCUAAGAGAGCUGACUGGACAUGCUGUGUUCACAGAUCUGACUGCAUCUUCAGACGAUAGUCUGCCAAGCUAAUGUGAUUAAUGUGUUCCUGGUGGCAGCAUUUCCUGCUACUCUGUUUUCCGUGAAGACAGAUCACACUGCCUCGCAGCCUCCAACUGAGCUCUAGAAGCCAGGCAGGAAGGAAGCCAAGCCCACUGCCGCCCACACCUCACCUCUGCACCUCAGCUGCUAUGCACACAUUCCACCAAUUUUUCAGAAAGGAGCGCCAUCCAUGGAGGAUGUGGAACAGCUGGGGGCCCUGAUUUUGCGCCCUCUCUCUUCCUCCAUGCCCCACCACACAGUCUCUGCAGAUGUCUAGUGUGAAGCGGAAGCGGUGUGGCUCGUUAGCAUGCCCGGAAAAGCGGCAGACGGAAGUGAUCUGACAGGCCUACUCUUGCAGCUGCAGGGAAUUGGUGGGUGGAGUGCCAGGGGCCAAGAGAGGACGAAGCUCAAGCGUGUCUUCACCCUUUGGCUUCCUUGAAGUACGAAGGCCUGUGGCCUGCCCUUGCUCCUCACCCUGUGGCACACUGGUCGAGCAGGUUACACCAGAUCCAUAGCCUUCCAUGCACUACCCAGUUUCUUAGAAGUUAAGGCGCGUCAAGAAUAAAAUGAAUGAAAAUGCUUUUGCUGGGGGAGAAGUAAAUACGAAGCUUUAUAAAAAUAAUCACCCAAAGAACCAGGUCAAAGGUCGGUGGCCCUGCCCUUGCCCGUAGCAGACAUCUGGGUUUUCUGUGUUAGUUCGUUUUUAAUUCUGGAGUCAGGUGACACUUCACCCAGAAGACAAAAAUGCAUUCCCAGGAUCAAAAGAUGCUCAUUUUAUAGACAGAAAGGGUCUGAAAACAGAAACCAGAAAGAGGAAAAAGUGAGAUGGGUCACUUCCAAGUCACUUUUGAUGGUGGCUCAUCUUGAUCAUUAACGUGAUUGGAUUGAGAAAUAACAUAGGUUAGAAAGCGCCCUCUCCAGAUGUCAGAGGAUUAAGACUAAAGACCCUCCUCAAAUGAGGCCACAUCACCACAUGUGCUGGCAUCCUGGAGCCAAUAAGAGCAGAAGAAAACUGCCUGCUAGUGGGUCCUCUUUCUUGACACCUCCCACUCCAGCUUUUCUCCUUCUUCUCUCCUCCCUUCCCCACUCCUCCCACCAGGUCUCUCUUCCCACAACCUUCUUCAUGUUUGCUAUGAGGUAAGGAACUCUGCUCCACCGCACACCUUCUGCCAUCCGACAUUGUCAUCCUGUGCAACAUCUUCACCAUUUAGAAACCAUGAACCAAAACAAA